AAUACUGGAUGACUGCAUUCAUGUGUGGACUACAGAGAAAAAAAAAUGAAGAAACUAGGAGAACUAAACCACAACAAAGUCUAGAAAUGACUGCAGAAUUGAGACCACUAGAGCGGGAGGAGAAUGGUAGAAACAAAGUGGAGAGAGGCCCAAUGGUGGAUGAUAAAGGGAUACAGGGAAUGGAGUGGAGCCUGACAUCAAAGACUGGCUCCCAUGAGUGAGGACAACUGAGGCCACAGGUUCUUGGGGCAGGAGCUGGCAGAACCACCUCUUUCUUAUUAUCUGUUACCAGGUAUGGUAGGUUGAAGAAUGGCCUCCAAAGAUACCCAGGUCCUCAAUCCAAAUCCCUAAAUGGCAAAAUAGAUGUGAUUAAGGGUGAUUACCUCAGUGAUUCAAGCAACACAAAUAUCAUUAUCUUAAAGUUCUGAAGAGCCCAAGUUCAACACAGGUCUCUCCAGGCCUGAUUCCGUUUUGAUGGAAAACACACCCAGUGCGUAGUUCAGAAGGCUACAGAAUUGAGAGCUAUUAAAUACUAAAAAGACAAGGUGAGAAAC